CAGUCGCCACGGUAAUACGAAGGGGGCUAGCGUUGUUCGGAAUCACUGGGCGUAAAGGGUGCGUAGGCGGGCAUUUAAGUCAGGGGUGAAAUCCCGAGGCUCAACCUCGGAACUGCCCUUGAUACUGGGUGUCUUGAGUCCGGAAGAGGUGAGUGGAACUGCGAGUGUAGAGGUGAAAUUCGUAGAUAUUCGCAAGAACACCGGUGGCGAAGGCGGCCCACUGGUCCGGAACUGACGCUGAGGCACGACAGCGUGGGGAGCAAACAGGAUUAGAUACCCCCGUAGUCCCUGUCUCUUAUAC
rnacentral:rRNA from 1 species